UUCAUUAAACUCAUUUCAGGACACAUCCAAAAAUAACAACUGUAGCACAUCAUAAACUCCUCACAUUUUGACAUACGGAAGGAUGCACUGCAGACAUCGUCCAAGGUCAUUUAUCCCAAGUAAAUAAAGAGCAUCCCAAAAUUUGAAGGCAGUUGAAACUAAAGAUCGGUAUACAAAGGCAACAGGCAUCAUUGUGCCAGCAAUAUUUGACCAUGUCUUUAAACUAUGCUAUAACAAUUCACAAGGAUUCAAGUUUGAUGUGAACUUUAAGCACAUAAAAGUGAAAAUAAACUCUCCAAUGAAAUUGGAAAAACAAGAAUCCGAAACUGAGAACAGACUAUAUGGCACAUAAAAAGUUGGAUUGAGGGAACAAGGCCUAUUACCCAAGUGGGAAGACAUGGGAGUAAAUGGGGGAAGAGAAGUGCUUGAAAAAAAAAGUGUCCUUGGUCAUCUUACUUAUCAACUUAGGGCACGUUUGGCCACCUGAUUACUUGGUAACAAUUUCCUACUUUUGGCUUCUGGGUGUAUGGUAGCUCAUUCCGUAUCCAUUAAAACAAAUGAAUUGGAGAAUCCAUAUGAGUUUUUUCAGUUCUCCUUAUUUUUUUAACACUAAAAAAAACCUAUUUUGCACAUAUUAUCCAAAUACUUCCUUCCCUGUCUCCAUUUUUUUGGACAGUGAGUGAACAGAGCGAGCAAAUAGGUAUACCUUUUCCAAUUAAGCUUUUGCAAUUUUUGAAGAAUGAUUCUCAACUAAGUGAAAAGGGGUGAACGCUUGUCGUUUGCCAGACUUUUUGGGAGCUAAAAUCCAAAGAUUUGGAUUAUAAUUGAAACACUUAUACUUUACAAUUCAUAAUCCAAAACCUACAAAAUAACUGGAAGAUGCUUUCGCUCACAGCUAAUGCUUCCUUUGCUCCGAAUUUUCUCAAUCCAGACGAACUACACGAGAACUACAAGUACAACAAAUAAACUUAUCGACGAAUUUACCGUCUCGAAUGGUUUUCUUUCUACGGAGAAACUUUUUUCCAUGA